rnacentral:rRNA from 1 species
CGUGCCUACACAUGCAAGUCGAGCGAUGAUAUCCCUUCGGGGACUGAUUAGCGGCGGACGGGUGAGUAACACGUGGGUAACCUGCCUCAAAGAGGGGGAUAGCCCUCCGAAAGGAGGAUUAAUACCGCAUAAAGUUGAGAGUUCGCAUGAACAUUCAACCAAAGGAGCAAUCCGCUUUGAGAUGGACCCGCGUCCCAUUAGCUAGUUGGUGAGGUAAUAGCUCACCAAGGCGACGAUGGGUAGCCGACCUGAGAGGGUGAUCGGCCACAUUGGAACUGAGAUACGGUCCAGACUCCUACGGGAGGCAGCAGUGGGGAAUAUUGCGCAAUGGGGGAAACCCUGACGCAGCAACGCCGCGUGGGCGACGAAGGUCUUCGGAUUGUAAAGCCCUGUCUUCCGGGACGAUAAUGACGGUACCAAAGGGGGAAGCCACGGCUAACUACGUGCCAGCAGCCGCGGUAAUACGUAGGUGGCAAGCGUUGUCCGGAAUUACUGGGCGUAAAGGGUGCGUAGGCGGAUAUUUAAGUGGGAUGUGAGAUACCUGAGCUCAACUCGGGUGCUGCAUUCCAAACUGGAUAUCUAGAGUGCAGGAGAGGAGAAUGGAAUUCCUAGUGUAGCGGUGAAAUGCGUAGAGAUUAGGAAGAACACCAGUGGCGAAGGCGAUUCUCUGGACUGUAACUGACGCUGAGGCACGAAAGCGUGGGAAGCAAACAGGAUUAGAUACCCUGGUAGUCCACGCCGUAAACUAUGAAUACUAGGUGUAGGGGGGUAAUUCCCUCGGUGCCGGAGCUAACGCGUUAAGCAUCCCACCUGGGAAGUACGGCCGCAAGGUUGAAACUCAAAGGAAUUGACGGGGACCCGCACAAGCAGCGAGGCAUGUGGUUUAAUUCGAUGCUACACGAAGAACCUUACCUGGGCUUGACAUACAUGUGAAAGCUCGAAGAAACUCGAGCCCUCAUGAGGGUUAAACCUCAUGACACAUGCACAGGUGCUGCAUGGUUGUCGUCAGCUCGUGUCGUGAGAUGUACGGUUAAGUCCGUGAACGAGCGCAACCCUUGCUCUUAGUUGCUAAUAGGAUUCGUCCUAUGCACUCUAAGAGGACUGCCAGCGAUAAGCUGGAGGAAGGUGGGGAUGACGUCAAAUCCUCAUGGCCCUUAUGCCCAGGGCCACACACAUGCGACAAUGGUCAAGACAAUGCGUUGCAAGCCGGCGAUGGUUAGCUAAUCGCAUAAAAUUGACCUCAGUACGGAUUGAGGGUUGCAAUUCACCCUCAUGAAGCUGGAGUUGCUAUAACCGCCGGUCAG